CCCAUUGAGUCCAAUGUCCAUCUGCUGAGACCGCUGAUGCCAGAGCAAGGGAAACCAGCUGGCUCCAUGACCAGAAGUCAGCUAAUUUCACAUCAGUGCUUCUCUGGGUGGUUAAUGGAAAUGCUGACGUUUACCUACAGGAGCUCUUGUGCCAUUAUAACACAGUUGUCAAAAAAUGGUACUCCAUGGGGAGCCUCCUAUGCUGUCUGCUCUGAGAAGUGGAAGGUUUUGUGCAUAUAUUCAGUUAAUUCUGAAAUCUCAGAUGUCAUCUCCUCAGCCCAUUUCCAUAAUUACUGAUGUGGAACCAAAUUGUGCAGCCAUGAUGGAAAUGGAAAAAAAGUCAUUCAAGGGCGAAAAGAUGUGAACAACAGGAAGAGAAAGAGGAAGAAGGCAAAACAAUAAAAAUGUGCCCUUGUGCAGUGAAAAGUCCUUUCCCCAUUGCCCACAGAUGUACAGGUAUUAAGCACAGGGUGUAUUGUUUCAUUGAGGAAAAAAAUUGGAAUGACAGAGAACAAAGUAAGGGUUUUUUUGUUGUUGUUUUGGGUUGUUUUUUGGGGAGUGAGUUUGCUGAGCGUAAACCCAUAACUUGUCAAUAAUUUUGCUUUUGUCAGAACUUUAGCUGAGGUCUAAGGCUCCAUGAUAAAGCUAGCCGCUACCCAGGAUGGUUUGGAGUUUAAAGCCCAGCCAGACAAAUCUGUCUAGGUCUGGUCUGAAACAGGGCAUAGAAGGUGGCAAAAAAUGCAUUGAAAAUUCAGGAAUCAGAGUGAAUUGCCUUAUCAUCGUCAGAUAGUAUUUUAUGUUGCAAGAUUGAAUUUAGAAGACAAUAAGGGGACACGA